rnacentral:rRNA from 1 species
UGCGGAGGAUCAUUAAAGAAUACAAGGCUUUCGGGCCCUAUUCUCACCCUUUGUAUACCUAACUUUGUUGCUUUGGCGGAAACGUCAGAGGACCUAAACCCUUGAAUCUCUGCUGUCUGAGUACUAUAUAAUAGUUAAAACUUUCAACAACGGAUCUCUUGGUUCUGGCAUCGAUGAAGAACGCAGCGAAAUGCGAUAAGUAAUGUGAAUUGCAGAAUUCAGUGAAUCAUCGAAUCUUUGAACGCACAUUGCGCUCCCUGGCAUUCCGGGGAGCAUGCCUGUUCGAGCGUCAUUACAACCCUCAAGCUCUGCUUGGUAUUGGGCUCGCCUUCGGGCCUGCCUCAAAAUUAGUGGCAGCAUCGUCUGACCUUAAGCGCAGUAAUACUCGCCGCUUGUAGGAAUGUCGGAGGCUUGCUAAAAACCCCCACCAUAUUAGGUUGACCUCGGAUCAGGUAGGGAUACCCGCUGAACUUAAGCAUAUCAAUAAGCCGGAGGA